rnacentral:rRNA from 1 species
UACGUAGGGGGCAAGCGUUGUCCGGAAUCAUUGGGCGUAAAGAGCUCGUAGGCGGUUCGGCAAGUCGGGUGUGAAAACUCCAGGCUCAACCUGGAGACGCCACCCGAUACUGCUGUGACUUGAGUCCGGUAGGGGACCACGGAAUUCCUGGUGUAGCGGUGAAAUGCGCAGAUAUCAGGAGGAACACCUACGGCGAAGGCAGCUCGCUGGGACGGUACUGACGCUGAGACGCGAAAGCGUGGGGAGCAAACAGG